CGCGUGGUGGUUUAGUGGUUAUCAUGUUCACCUCACACCUCCAGGGUCAAGGGUUCGAUUCCCGCCGCUGCCC